AGCACGAAAGAGAAUGACAAAUGAUUAGAUAUGAAACAAAAUAAAGCAUAAAACAUUCCAAAGAUAAGGGAAGGUUUUUCAAUGUACAUUUGAAGCAGACAACCAUUACUACAUUACAAUUUUAAGCCAUUAACUUUUUUUUUUUUAUACAAACUUUGGACAAAUUACUGCACCAACACAAUUUCCUAAAGCUCUUUUCGAUUCAUGGAGGGACAGAAGAACUGAAUUGCACAACCUACAGGACUGAAUUGUAGAAUAUUGUAUUUAAAUCGAUCAAUACGCAUCCUUCAAGUAUGUCAAGACCAAAAAAACUAAUAAAAAUAAAGGAGGAUUCUGGCCGCAGGUACGAGGAUUUAUAACAGGAUUUUACAGACACAGCACGAGCCGUCCAAUAGAUCGCCUCCCAAGCGUUUUCCAGAUCCAUUCAACAAGCACGGUUUGAAUGAGGGUUAAGGCAACACUGCAAACCGGGCUUCUGCCUUAACCGAGAGACAUUCGACUUCAGUAAAUCCCUAAGAUGUGAUAAUACUGUACAUUCAGCUAGCCCUUCGUCUCCGGCCGUAUUUCACUCGUGUACAGAACGCAAACACACUUGCAGCUGAGUGAAUAAAUAAAUAAAUAAAUAACUCUUCUUAAGCAAAUCUCUUGUGCGAAAAAGCGUUGAACGAAUGGUAAAGUCGAGAAGGCAUUCUUGUGGCAUACACAGACUCAAAAGCAAGUCUUCAAGUUCAAGUCUGCUUGCCGAGGAAGAAAAAAAACAGCAAGGUAUGUCAGGUAUCUGUACAUAUUUACAAAUUAUUGCCAUACGAGAGUGUGUAAAGUAAAACUUGGGAAAGCUGGAAAAACAGGCAAACGAGGUCCGAAAUGAUCCGUUUCAUCUGUAAGCGAUUCUCGAUGCAUAGAUAAACGUCAGAUCAGUGCUUGCAGCAAACGAACGCCGUGCCAGAAAAAUCAUUUACAACGUUGCAUAAUCGGUCACUGAAGGGAACAGACGGGUAAACCUGCGGCUUGGUUCUGUUCCCGUGGCGAGAAAUCCCUGCAAAACGGUUUUUCAAUAAAUAGUGAUCUCAAAAUAUCGAAAUGAACAAAAACUAAGAAAAACACGAACACAUGUGCCAGUAUCUCACAACCAUUUCGGGAAACAAAAACAACCAUGAUGCAGUCCAAUGGUCUUCAUUGCAAUAAAUACGCCAAACGCCGACUGCUAAAGCAAGAGGAACACUAAUAAAUAUGCGUAGAAGUAGGAAAAAAACAUUUUAAUCACACACGUCGUAAUACCUCUAUUGUAUUUAGAGCCUUUUAUAUUUGCUAGAACCACUUUCAAUUGUUCGUAGGUUUGUUUUUGCAGUCCGUCAACAUAGAAAAUAUCCCAGGGCUGAACUUCUUCCAGGUUCUUGUGCAAAAAAUGGUGCGUAACGAAACGAAGAAGGGGUCGUAGAUGCCGUUCAGACGAAGGCUGAGCUGUAAACACUGAUGGGAACCACAGAGGAGAGGCUGAGCUGACAGCCAGUCGUCAUGAUGGCUUAGUAAAACCCCUUGCCCUCGGGCCAAGUAUGCGAGUUCAGUUUUCCACAGUAUUCGGACGUAGACAACGUUUAUAUGACACUUCCAAAAAAUUCAAGACUGGAAAAUAAAUGGCUGUAUUAACUCUUGAGAAAUCAAGAUUUAGGUCUGUACAAUUAGACAUCACUGAUGUCAUAGUAAAAAAAAAAAAAAAAGAUCU